UUAAGCGGCCAUGCCACAUCGAGAAUGCCUGAUCUUGUCUGAUUCCAGAAGCUAUAAGUAAGGCCGGGCCCGGUUAGUAAUUGGAUGACAGACCUCUGGGAAUACGAGGUGCUACAUAUU
rnacentral:rRNA from 1 species